rnacentral:tRNA from 1 species
GAGAGAUGGCUGAGUGGUUGAUAGCCCCGCUCCCCCCCCCCC